rnacentral:rRNA from 1 species
GACAGAGGGUGCAAACGUUGUUCGGAAUUACUGGGCGUAAAGCGCGUGUAGGCUGCUCUGCAAGUCGGGUGUGAAAGCCCUGGGCUCAACCUAGGAAGUGCACUCGAAACUGCAGAGCUGGAGUCCUGGAGAGGAAGGCGGAAUUCUCGGUGUAGAGGUGAAAUUCGUAGAUAUCGAGAGGAACACCGGUGGCGAAGGCGGCCUUCUGGACAGUGACUGACGCUGAGACGCGAAAGCGUGGGGAGCAAACAGG